rnacentral:rRNA from 1 species
UACGGAGGAUGCGAGCGUUAUCCGGAUUUAUUGGGUUUAAAGGGUGCGUAGGCGGAUCGUAAGUCAGUGGUCAAAUUGAGGGGCUCAACCCCUUCCCGCCAUUGAAACUGGCGAUCUUGAGUGGAAGAGAAGUAUGCGGAAUGCGUGGUGUAGCGGUGAAAUGCAUAGAUAUCACGCAGAACCCCGAUUGCGAAGGCAGCAUGCCGGCUUCCUACUGACGCUGAAGCACGAAAGCGUGGGGAUCGAACAGG